UACGUAGGGUGCAAGCGUUGUUCGGAAUCACUGGGCGUAAAGGGAGUGUAGGCGGGAUCGUAAGUUAGGAGUUUAAUCCACGGGCUCAACUCGUGGUCUGCUUUUAAUACUGCGGUUCUUGAGUAUGGGAGAGGGCGAUGGAAUUCCAGGUGUAGCGGUGGAAUGCGUAGAUAUCUGGAAGAACACCAGUAGCGAAGGCGGUCGCCUGGCCCAAUACUGACGCUGAUACUCGAAAGCUAGGGGAG
rnacentral:rRNA from 1 species